GACAGUGUGAGGCAGUGUCCGUGGCUGCUGCCAUGGUGGCGAGCUGCCGGGUAAUGCUCUGAGGGUCUGAGUUGAUUUCCUAUCACGCCCGAGCGCCCUCGACGGCGCGGCCCAGGCGGCGGCUUAGUUGUCUCUUGUGCCGUGAGGCUGAGCUGGGGGUUGAAGACCCAGAAGCCAGGUUCCUGUGAUGUGGUCUUAGGGGGCGUGUUGGAGGGGAGACGAGGGCCAAGCUGGGAGAAAGGCGCGGUAGUUUAGUCCCACUGGGCUGGCCGAAGCCUUAGGGACUGCAUUGGAGUGAGGGUAGUCUGGAGCUCAAGGUCUGGGCGAUGGGAUGUUUCCAGGGAUUCGGCCUUCGGGUGGGUGGGUGAGGCUCACGAAUCUCUCCCACUCUUCAGCUUUCCCCGCCGCCUUCUGUUCCUCGUGGCUCCCGCGGGUUGCAGGUGCAGCAUGUCUAGUUUAGGAGCCCUGGGCGGCGGCCGCACCGGGUUGGGGCUGUUGCUGGGCACCGCCGCGGGCCUUGGAUUCCUGUGCGCCCUUUCCAUCCAGCGGUGGAAACGGACCCAGCGCCAUGGCCGGAGCCAGAGCCUGCCCAACUCCCUGGACUACACGCGGACUUCAGAGUCCCGACGCGAGGUUAUGCUGUUGCGGGCAGCCCCAGGUGAGGCUGGAGAUGCUGCGGUGCUGCCCAGCCUUCCUCGAGAAGGGCGGGAGGAGGUGCUGGACCGUCUGGACUUUGUGCUGACCAGCCUCGUGGCCCUGCGGCGGGAGGUGGAGGAGCUGAGGAGCAGCCUGCAGGGGCUUGCUGGGGAGAUUGUUGGGGAGGUCCGAUCCCACAUGGAAGAGAACCAGAAAAUGGUUCGGCGGCGAAGAUUCCCGUUUGCCCGAGAGAGGAGCGACUCCACUGGCUCCAGCUCUGUGUACUUCACGGCCACCUCGGGAGCCACAUUCACAGAUGCUGAGAGUGAAGGAGGUUACACAACAGCCAAUGCCGAGUCUGACUAUGACCGGGACUCUGACAGGGAGAGUGAGGAUGGGGAGGAUGAAGUGAGCUGUGAGACUGUGAAGAUGGGAAGAAAGAAGUCCCUGGACCUGGAGGAGGAAGUGGCUUUGGGCCUGGCACCUGGUACCCUGGAGGAUAUGCUGCCCCUCCUGCAGCAGGCAGACGAGCUGCACCAGGGCAGUGAGCAGAGCAAACGAGAGGGCUUCCAGCUGCUGCUCAACAACAAGCUGGUGUAUGGAAGCCAACAGGACUUUCUUUGGCGCCUGGCCCGGGCCUACAGUGACAUGUGUGAGCUCACUCAGGAGGUGAGCGAGAAAAAGUCAUAUGCCCUAAAUGGAAAAGAAGAAGCAGAGGCUGCUCUGGAGAAGGGGGAUGAGAGUGCUGAAUGUCAUCAGUGGUAUGCAGUGCUUUGUGGUCAGCUGGCUGAGCAUGAAGGUAUCCAGAGGCGCAUCCAGAGUGGUUUUAGCUUCAAGGAGCAUGUGGACAAAGCCAUUGCUCUCCAGCCGGAAAACCCCAUGGCUCACUUUCUCCUUGGCAGGUGGUGCUACCAGGUCUCUCACCUGAGCUGGUUAGAAAAAAAAACUGCUGCAGCCUUGUUUGAAAGUCCUCUCAGUGCCACUGUGCAGGAUGCCCUCCAGAGCUUCUUAAAGGUGGAAGAACUACAGCCAGGAUUUUCCAAAGCAGGAAGAGUAUAUAUAUCCAAGGUUUUUACUGUCUUCUCAGUGCUACAGAGAACUAGGGAAGAACUCUGAAGCUAGACAGUGGAUGAAGUUUGCUCUGGAGCUGCCAGAUGUCACUAAUGAGGAUUCAGCUUUCCAGAAGGACCUAGAAGAAUUGGAAGUUAUUUUAGGAGAAUAAUCACAUUCCAUGACUGUUAAGGAAGAGAAUCAAGGCUAUUUUGUAUUAGGCCCUGCUUAGAUCAGGAGACCAAAGCAAGACUGGUUUAGGGAGUGUCCCGACUCCUGGAUGUGAAUGCUACCUGCUACCAUUCCCCAAUUUCUUGCCUGUUGUCCACCAGCUAAUUUAUUCUAUCCCUUAUCUAAUCUGAAAUUGUGGAGGUAGUUGAGGUCUGGGUUUUUGUUGUUCUCCUCCUUAUAAAGAAAAAUCAACACUGCCUUUCACCUGCUGGUGAGGUAGAACUUCAAAGAGCUCUUAAGAACAAAGCACAGAAUGUGUUAACCUUUUUCACUGAUUCACUGUAUAUAGUCUUAAGAUCACACCCUGCCUAUCAGGGUGAAAGGAGGGGUCAGGGCAGCCCAAGGACAUUGCCCUCUUAUCACCUAUCAUGUAGAUUCUUAACUGUAUUCCUCGGAUGACAGGCUGGAGUCCCAGCCGCUUUUGGAAUGACAGCAGUGGCGUAAGGUUUAUGAAGGUAUGACACUACUGGUGUGAAGAGGUGCCUGGAAUGUGUUGUGGUACAAAUGUGAAAUAAACCAAAUUUGAUUAGAAGUA